rnacentral:rRNA from 1 species
UACGUAGGGUGCGAGCGUUGUCCGGAAUUAUUGGGCGUAAAGGGCUCGUAGGCGGUUUGUCGCGUCGGGAGUGAAAACCCAGGGCUUAACCCUGGGCUGGCUUUCGAUACGGGCAGACUAGAGGUAUGCAGGGGAGAACGGAAUUCCUGGUGUAGCGGUGAAAUGCGCAGAUAUCAGGAGGAACACCGGUGGCGAAGGCGGUUCUCUGGGCAUUACCUGACGCUGAGGAGCGAAAGCAUGGGGAGCGAACGGG